AAUACAAUAUCUUGUUGAUCGCUCGUCGUUUAUAUAAUAUAUAUAUUGGCCAUUUUACCAAUCAAUUACGUAUCAAUGGAGAAGAGGGAGUCGACAGGUGACAACAAAAUACAUAGGGUAUUUUUGUGUUAGCGAAGUAGCGCCGUGUUCAGAGCCCUAUGGGUAGAGUUAUAUCACCGGGCUAUCUGCUUUGACCAUAGUUGACUUCCUCAUGUGUUUGAGUUAUGGCCCCAAACAUUCAAAAUUUAAUAAUAUUUUUUAGGUGAAGAACUCUACAAAGGCGGUAAAUUUUGUUAAAAUACUCCAAGGAUGUCAUCUUGUCGUGCGCCUUGGAUUACAGGAAUCGUUCUUGAGCUGAGGGGAUGACACUUUUUUCAUUUCAAGGGACAAAUUCCUUGGAAGGCAAUGAGUCCUAUAAAUGAAAUGAAAUCUUUGGAAACCAUAAUAUAAUUAUCGAUUGUGUUCUAAACAUUUUGAAGAAAUAAGGAAUUCCAACUCUCAAGCCAUUCCAAUAUUGUUUAAACAUCUAAAACCUAAAGUUCCAAGGCUCACCAAAAACUCCAACAAAGCCAUUUUCAUUCGGGAGAACAAUGCUGAUGCUAAGAAAAUUUAAUAAUGAAGGAAAUCUCAAGCAACUUUUUUAUUUCGAAUUUCAGAUAUUUCUCCUGAGGUAAAACAGCUAAAGGAAAUAACAUACAAAUCCAACUUGGAGUCUAUGAAGCAGAAAUAAAGGAAUUAAAGAAGAUGUUGAAGGAGAAAGAUGUCAAAAUUUGGGACGCAGAAUCAAAGUUUAAGUCUUUAAAAAUGCCCCUCUCUUCGGUAUUUAAUUCAAACCAUAUAAAAUUUUUAAGUUGCAAGUCUUCACAUUCCAAAAUCCGCCUCUCUGUCUAAUAAAACAAUUGAGAAUUCACUUCAGUUAAGAUUCGUUGAGGAACUAUAUGUUGUUCAUUUAAUCUAUUGUGCCAAGAACUGUUUGGAUCAAUUUGCAAAAAUAGAGACUUUAUUCAAAUCUUAUGUAAAUCAAUUCAAAUCAAUUCAAAACAAUGAAAAAAAAAUGUAAACUCAAUAACUGAAGUAGCGGUUCCAUUAAUUAAGUUGUCUAUAAAUGUCGCAAAAUGUCAUAAAAUUUAUUUUUUAUUGUGUCUAAGUAUGUUAGUAUAAGAAUGCACAUACAUUUACGAAUGCAAACUGUGAUUAUCAAAGAAAAUAAAAUAGCUCGGAAGACGAAGAAUGUGUAUGCGAAAUUAAACCCCGAGACUCCAGCAAAAAUCAACCUAUUAUGUAUAUUCAGAAUCAUAACGAGCUGUAUAUCCUGAAUAUGUAUAUAUUCGUGGUAUUUGGA
rnacentral:lncRNA from 1 species